rnacentral:lncRNA from 1 species
UCUUGCCAUUAAAACACAAGCAAGCCUUUUUUGAAGUCAGCUUUACCAGCAGUGAUAGGCAGAUUUCUAUCUUUGUUCCCCCACUGUGUCUUGAGGCAAGGGAGAAAUGUAAAUGAUCACGUUAUUUAAAUAUUGUUCUGAAAUCAUGUAGUGAAUUCCAACGUAAUAUAAAAAUGUUCUAGAAGUCUGUAUAAUAGGGGUGUCCACAAACACACUGGCAAAGAAGAAAGGGAUUAUAGAUGCUUUUCACUACUGCUUGAGAAACAAGGGGAAAAUCUGGGAGCUGAAUCUAGGAGUGAGGAGACAGUCUGGCUUUUCAGAGGAUUGACUCUCUAAGGGGAGAAUUCUGGAAAUAGGAAAAGAGAUUGAAAUCUAUGCCAGACCUUUCCAACUCUCACCUUCUCUCUGGUCUAUUUGGCUGUCUGCAAUAUCCUCCAGGGGAAACCAUUCUUGGUGGUACAGAUAGAACCUCUUAAACAAAGAGAGUUAAUUUUUUGUCUCUCUCUUUUUUCUUUUUGUUACAAUCAAUAAAUCUGCUCGUUCUAGUCUAUGAUGAAAAUAUAAUUUUGUCAAAUCUCCUUCAAAGGAAUUUCUUUCCUAGCUUCUUAUCUGUUCAAAGCUGCUUAAGAUAUGGUAGUCAAUAUCAAUCAGGAAACAUUUGACCCAAAGAGAUAAAGUCCCGAGGUAUGAUCCUUUGAUGAAUGGUUUGCCCUUAUCAGCUUGUAAUUGCUAUUAUAAACUCAACAGAAAGGGAGACAAACACAGAGAUAUGUUUCUUUGACUUGUUUCCAGCAUUGACUAAAGACCUUAUCAAAACUCGUAAGAAAAC